UCGGCUUGCUAAGCCGAAGGUCCCGGGUUCGAUUCCCGGUGGAUCCC
rnacentral:tRNA from 1 species